UGCGGGGUAGAGCAGCUGGUAGCUCGUCGGGCUCAUAACCCGGAGGUCGCAGGUUCGAGUCCUGUCCCCGCUACUA
rnacentral:tRNA from 1 species